AAAAAAAUAAUAAUUUUAAUUAUUUAAUUAUGUUAAAAUGAUUAAAUUAGUAAUUUAAUAUGUAAAGUAUAUUUUAUUUAUAGAAUAUAUUUUUAAGUAAUUAGGCAAAAUAAUUAUAUUCACCUGUUUAUCAAAAACAUGUCUUUUUGAAUUUAAUAUAAAGUCAGUUCUGCUCAAUGAGUAAUUAAAUAGCUGCAGUAUAUUGACUGUACAAAGGUAGCAUAAUCAUUUGUCUUUUAAUUGAAGGCUGGAAUGAAUGAAUUAAUGAAAUAUAAACUGUCUCAAUUUUAUAUAAUAAAUUUAAAUUUUAAGUAAAAAUGCUUAAUUAAGUUUAAGGGACGAUAAGACCCUAUAGAAUUUUAUAUAUUAAUUAAUAAUAUUUAUUAUUUAAUAUAUUUAGUUGGGAGGAUUUAUAAAUUUAAUAAACUUUAAAAUUUUAAAAUAUUGAUUAAUAGAAUUAAAUUGAAAUAUUUAUAAUAAUAUUAGAAUAAAUUACCUUAGGGAUAACAGCGUAAUAGUUCCGGAAAGAUCAAAUUGAAAGGAUGGAUUGCGACCUCGAUGUUGAAUUAAGAUAAAAUUAUAAAUGUAGAAGUUUAUAAAUUUAGUCUGUUCGACUAUUAAAAUUUUACAUGAUUUGAGUUCAGAUCGACGUAAGUCAGAUUGGUUUCUAUCUUUAAAUAAAUAUAAAAUUUUUGUACGAAAGGACU
rnacentral:rRNA from 1 species